rnacentral:lncRNA from 1 species
UUUUCAGGCAAUUUUAAAAUUAAAAUCUCAACACAGACACUAAAGAUAAUAUUCAGGCACAAGUGAAUGUGAGGAUCCCUCUCUUGAGAUUUCUUAACUUGACUUUGGAUUUUUUAGUGCUUCUUUAUAUAAUCUUUUCACCAGACUUUGAUUGAGCAGUAUCAUCUUGCAGCACCAGAAGGCUGAAAACGCAUCGUCUCAGUUACCAUUUUAAGUCACUCAGCAAGAACAACCAGAUAAAGGAAGCAACCACGGUCUUUAAAAAAAAAAAGAUCAUUACGAAGAAGAUAUAUUCAUUAAAAAAUCCCAAAUCGCUUUAAACUCUUUCUAGCUGGGAGUGAUGCAAAUCACUGGAAUGUAUAGUCCUGUGUCUCUUUUACAAAAAUCUCAUUUUCCAACUCUCUUCUCUCUCUAAUACAGCUCCCGACUUGAGUACAUAAUCCUCAUUCUGCCUUCACUGGUGGCCUUGGAUGUUACUGAAUAAACAAUACUGGAAACAAGAGAGAGAAAGAAGAAGGUCAAUCCCAGCGACCACCCAAACUGAAAAACAAAAUAACGCGUAGACAGUGCAACCAGUUCAGCUGAAGCCAGCAACGAGAACACAAAAAGGGUCUAGGUGGUGAGUUUCUUAAAUCAACAAAUACUAUCUGCCCACCAAUGAUUUGCUACCUGCCUCUCAUCAGAAAAAAAUGCCUUGAUCAAUG